rnacentral:rRNA from 1 species
UGGGGAAUUUUGGACAAUGGGGGAAACCCUGAUCCAGCAAUGCCGCGUGAGUGAAGAAGUGCCUUCGGGUUGUAAAGCUCUUUUGUCAGGGAAGAAACACCUGGCUCUAACACAGUCCUGGGAAUGACGGUACCUGAAGAAUAAGCACCGGCUAACUACGUGCCAGCAGCCGCGNGUAAUA